GCCCAUAGCUCAACUGGAUAGAGUACUUGACUACGAAUCAAGCGGUUAGAGGUUCGACUCCUCUUGGGCGCA
rnacentral:tRNA from 2 species